rnacentral:lncRNA from 1 species
UGAGUCCCAAAGACCUCUAUUUAUAGGUGGUAGAGGUUGUAUGUCCGUUGCUUGAUAGGCAAUCAAUCAUGCUGAUUUUAUGCCAAGAUAAUCGAUUAUCAACUUUACAUAAUCGAUUAUCUUCUCAACGUUCAUAAAGCUGAACGUUGGAAGGCAACGGUUAGUGAAUAAUCGAUUAUUCUAUAGGGGAUAAUCGAUUAUUUACCUUUUCUGGAAUUUCCAGUUUAAGCUGGAAAAGUCAGAUAAUUGAUUAUCUACUUUGUGAUAAUCGAUUAUGCAGCCAUGCUGGAAUUUCCAGUUUU